UUCUGGCAAUUUUGGCAUGUAUAUAUCAAAUAUUUUAAGAUUUUUACGAGUGUUGGUCUAAUUAUAGUAUCAUUUUUAUACAUUGCAAAUAGCUUUGGGAGGAAUUUAGUCUUUGCUAUUCACCUUAUCUAUGGCUUGGUUAUGCAAUUUGACUUAUGAGACAAUGUACACGAUUUUGAAACUUGAAAAACCUCUUAAAUGUGUUGGGUGAUUUUUUUCUUUAUGCAGAGGGUUGGAUAGGCAUCCAAAUAAGUUCUAUAGGGUCUGAAUACAUAAGAGGAAGUAAGCUAAGUAUAUAGGAUGAUAUGUAUUUUCUAUCAUAUAAAAAAACAAAAAGAAAAUUUCAGAAGUGCAUGGAGAUAUUUCACUUUUUGCCUUCCUCAAAAACCAAAUAUAUACAACUUCUGGAGUCUUCCAUAGAUCCACUGGCUUACAACAACUUUCUUUCUUUUUUUGAUCUUUAUUUCUUCUUUUUUGUCUUAAUCAAGGUUGAAGAAUUUGCUCAAAAAAAUUCAACAAGGGAUAGAGGGGUAAUUUUCUAUUCGUAAUGAAAUUCAAUUCAAAUAAAUUAAUGGUUAAUAAUAAUUUGAACAUCUCAACCAUAUGGGUGCCAGAUUUUUUGUUUUUAUUGGGGUUUUAGUUGUUGUUAUUUUAUCAAGUUAUGAAUGAUUCUUAUAAAGAUAAAAUAUUUUAAUAUAUUGUAUGACUAUGCUCCAAUUAUUUUUAAUAAUGGACUUUAAUAAAUGAUUAUAAUUGAAAUUAUAUUAACUACAGGAUGUAUCUCUCACAACAUGAAAAUAUAAAUUUGGUUUAUGUAUAUUGGGGCUGUUACUUAGAGUUCAUUUAUAUAAAUUGUUAGUGGGUGGUUCCAAUGUAGUUCAGGGCUUGCAGACACAUUCAUCUUAUUUGGCAUGGCCUUUGAUUUGUUUGAGGUAUAUUUGAUUACAAAUAAAUUGAUUUGCUAUACCUUUUUAACCUGAAUUAGUUUUGUCUCAUAGUUUACUGUUUUGAAUUUCAAGCUCAGCAGCUGAACAAUGACAUAUUUGAUAUCAUAUGCUACGAUGCUCUAAAAGCUUCUUCUGAUAUAGCUGAGAAAGAGGGCCCCUAUGAGCCGUGUAAUGAGAGUCCUGUGAGUAAGGAGAGCAAAUAAAGCUGACAAACAAGUCAAGAAAAGAGGAGGUGGCUUUUAGAAAGUAUAUAGCCUUUCUCCUCAGCUUCAAAAAGUAGUGGGAGAGUCUGAAUUGCAUAGAAUUGAGGACAUCCCUUCUACAAGGAACACAAAGAAAUCUGGCCAAGCAAUUUGGUUUCUCUGGACGUUUGAGCAGCCAGCAAAAAUCCAAUCCAGAUUUCUACAAUUGGAAUCGAAUUAAGGUUAGGUACUGUGAUGGAUCAUCAUUCACAGGCGAUGUGGAGGCAGCCAAUCCAGUAAGUUAUUUGAAUUAUUUGAGAAAAUUACUGCGUAAUGCAUUUUCUGGUUUUUAACCUAAUGGUGAUGUGAUUAAGUUAAUAGUCUCUACGUCAGAGGAAAUAGAAAUUGGGAGGCUAUAAUUGAUGAUCUUUUAGCAAAAGGAAUGAGAAAUGCUAAAAAUGCUAUUCUUUCUGGCUGUUCUGCUGGUUGAUUGGCUUCGCACUGUGAAAGAUUUAGAGCUCUUCUUCCCUCUACAACUAAAGUAAAAUGCAUUUCAGAUGCUGGCUUCUUCAUCCAUGCGAUUCCUUAUUUCUGGUAGGAAGGACAUUUCUGGAGGGCAGCACAUGGAAAAUUUCUAUGGCCAAAUGGCUCAAUUACACAUAUUGUCUCUAUUCUCUCUCUCAUCCUUUUUUGGGGUGAACUUUUUUGAAGAUUUUUAAUGAUUGUGAGCUAUAUUAGAAUUGUUCAUCAAAUGCAUUUUCUUUUUCUCAAAAAAGACUGAGAUGGACCCUUACCAGUCUUAUAAAUCUAACGUCUUGUUCAGGGGUCUGUUAAGAAUUUGCCAGCAUCUUGUACUUCAAGAAUGAGAAUGAGACCAGAGUUGACUAUGAAAACGCCAAUAUGACAGUUCAUUUGCUGAUGUUACUAUACCCAAAACCAUAAUAUGCUCAAAAUCAAUUGAGAGAGCUAGGCUUCAUGGUACAAUUCAAUGUGAUCAAAGAUUGGGAAAGCAAAAAAAAAAUGAGUGGAAAAAGAAAAUUAGCUUAUAUCUCUUACUGGAAGAAUAACGUUUUGGACCUCUCAGUUUGACAAGGGCCUUGCAUACUGACAUGGAUGACAUGUAUUGCAUUCAACAUGUGGAGGUAGAGACAAGUUUUGAAGCGCUUCAAGUUGGUUUUUCUAGUAAAUGAAAGCAUAGAAGGUUUACAUGAAUGAAGGAAAAAUUGUCUUAUAAUUACAGAUUUCAGGGUGCAAUUCUUAAGUGCAGGAAAGCAGAUAACGUGGUCAAGAAAUAAUUCUCCAGCAGUGGGUAACACGGUACGUACAUAAGAGAUCUCAUUCCUUGUUCUUCUUUCUUUUGUCUACAUAUAAUUUUGUUGGUGUUGGACAUUUAAACUCUAGUAGGACCUAAAACAUUUUUCAUUAUUUGUUUGUGAUUGAAAAUACUUGUAGAAAAUUGCAAAGGCUGUUGGAGACUGGUAUUAUGAGCAGCGUCCUGUUCAAAAGAUAGACUUCCCUUCCCCUUGCAACCCCACUUUUAUGAGCAAAGUCCCGUUCAAAAGAUAGACUGCCCUUACCGUUGCAAACCCACUUACCAAAACACUGAUUCUGAAUCACAAGUCCCAGAUAUAUAAUAUAUAGUGCUUACUUUAUGCAGUCAUAAUUCAUGCAUAUUGAAUGAUGUUCAUGUCUUCUUCAAGUCCUAGCUGUCUAUCUCUACUCUGCAUGCCUCUCAGGUUUGCUAUUUAUUCUUUAUCAAAAUUAAGAAAAAAUAAAGUGUAUAAUAUUGGAAUCAAACAAGCUAAGAAUACAAAGGUGCCUGAACUUGCAGUAUUAUUAUGUAAUUGCCAAUGACUGGUCUUAAUUUUGCUUCAAUGUUAGUGUUGGUUAAAGAGAUGGCAUUUGCUUUUCCUAUUCCUAUAUAUACUCCACUUAUUUCCAAAUCAAGUUGAAUGGUUAUUAUCACAUUUUUGCAUGUUUCUGAACUAUAUAUUCUUCCUUGCGUAAAUUUUUAUAGUUUAUGACUUGUAGUACAUUUUGCUAAUAAUGCUAACAAUGGACAAAAAAUACAAUUCAAACUGGGAUUGGAGGCAUGGCAGAAGAAGAGAAUAAUAAAAAGGAAAAGAAACAAACCAAACCUAACCUUAUGAUGUACUGGAAGAUUUUGUGACACUGUUGAGCACUUGAAGAAUGGUUUGUUUUUUAACAUUCUCGAGUAACAACGGAAUGAAAUGCAUUUAGCCACUCCGAUCUCUUACCACAGCAUGCAUGCAGAAUACCAUUAGCCAAGUACAAUGAGCUGGAAAUGAUCGAUGUAACAAAUAGGUACCGUUUUAAAUUGUGAUACACAUAUCAGAGGAAUUGCAGUCGCACAAGGAAAAGAGAUGCAUAUUGAAUGGUAAUAUAAAUAUUAGAUUAGAUUUUGAGUGAAAAAAAUUUGCCCCUAUAAGCAUCAAGGCCGCUGUAUUUACCCCUCCGACAGAACAAAUUGCCAGGUCAGAGGAUAAGAUCCCCCAUUUUUCUUUUCUUCUUAAAAACUAUCUAAUAAAUACUAUACUUAUUAGCUUUAAUGCUAAAGGUUGGUAUCAGCUCAAGAACUUCGCCACUUGGCCAGGAUAUUUAAGUGCCAAUCAUUCAUACAGGUACAGUUUCUUGACCUGAGAACUAGUGCAACAAA